rnacentral:lncRNA from 1 species
GGUCUGUACACUAACAUGCUGCAGCACUGGACAGUUCCACUGACAACCAGGCUAAUAUUAUAAAAAUAACAACACUGAAAUAGUUGACCAUGGUGUGUACAGCGAUUUACUGUCUGGCUAAAGAACUCAAUAAGCCCUCGUCUGACCAGGUAAUGUCAAUGGGUAGGGGUAAUGGAGCCCUGAGGUAACACCAUGGGUAGGGGUAAUGGAGCCCUGAGGUAACACCAUGGGUAGGGGUAAUGGAGACCUGUAGGGCUGAGGUAACACCAUGGGUAAUGGAGACCUGUAGGGCUGAGGUAAUGGAGACCUGUAGGGCUGAGGUAAUGGAGACCUGUAGGGCUGAGGUAACACCAUGGGUAAUGGAGACCUGUAGGGCUGAGGUAACACCAUGGGUAGGGGUAAUGGAGGCCUGUAGGGCUGAGGUAAUGGAGACCUGUAGGGCUGAGGUAACACCAUGGGUAAUGGAGACCUGUAGGGCUGAGGUAACACCAUGGGUAGAGGUAAUGGAGACCUGUAGGGCUGAGGUAAUGGAGACCUGUAGGGCUGAGGUAACACCAUGGGUAAUGGAGACCUGUAGGGCUGAGGUAACACCAUGGGUAGGGGUAAUGGAGACCUGUAGGGCUGAGGUAAUGGAGGCCUGUAGGGCUGAGGUAACACCAUUCCAAGUAACUGAAAACAGUCUGUACCUACAGAACAAGGACUGGUGGUGUCUGUCCACACAUCUACACUUCUAGAGUACAACACCCUCCAUCUACCCACCCAUCCCUAUUUCUAUCCCUUACUCACUCCCUCCAUCUACCCCUCCCUAUUUCUAUCCCUUACUCACUCCCUCCACCCAGCCCUCCCCC